UAACGAUUUGGGCACUGUCUCAACGAGAGACUCGGUGAAAUCAUAGUACCUGUGAAGAUGCAGGUUACCCGCGACAGGACGGAAAGACCCCGUGGAGCUUUACUGUAGCCUGAUAUUGAAAUUCGGCACAGCUUGUACAGGAUAGGUAGGAGCCUUUGAAACGUGAGCGCUAGCUUACGUGGAGGCGCUGGUGGGAUACUACCCUAGCUGUGUUGGCUUUCUAACCCGCACCACUUAUCGUGGUGGGAGACAGUGUCAGGCGGGCAGUUUGACUGGGGCGGUCGCCUCCUAAAAGGUAACGGAGGCGCUCAAAGGUUCCCUCAGAAUGGUUGGAAAUCAUUCAUAGAGUGUAAAGGCAU
rnacentral:rRNA from 1 species